AUUGAACGCUGGCGGCAUGCCUUACACAUGCAAGUCGAACGGCAGCACGGGAGCAAUCCUGGUGGCGAGUGGCGAACGGGUGAGUAAUACAUCGGAACGUGCCCAGUAGUGGGGGAUAACCCGGCGAAAGCCGGACUAAUACCGCAUACGACCUACGGGUGAAAGCGGGGGAUCGCAAGACCUCGCGCUAUCGGAGCGGCCGAUGUCAGAUUAGCUAGUUGGUGGGGUAAAGGCCUACCAAGGCGACGAUCUGUAGCUGGUCUGAGAGGACGACCAGCCACACGGGGACUGAGACACGGCCCAGACGCCUACGGGAGGCAGCAGUGGGGAAUUUUGGACAAUGGGCGCAAGCCUGAUCCAGCCAUGCCGCGUGCGGGAAGAAGGCCUUCGGGUUGUAAACCGCUUUUGUCAGGGAAGAAACGCUCCGGGCUAAUACCACGGAGUAAUGACGGUACCUGAAGAAUAAGCACCGGCUAACUACGUG
rnacentral:rRNA from 1 species